GCGUGAGUGAUGACGGCCUUAGGGUUGUAAAGCUCUUUCGCUCGGGACGAUAAUGACGGUACCGAGAUAAGAAGCCCCGGCUAACUUCGUGCCAGCAGCCGCGGUAAUACGAAGGGGGCUAGCGUUGUUCGGAAUUACUGGGCGUAAAGCGCGUGUAGGCGGGUCUUUAAGUCAGGGGUGAAAUGCCAAGGCUCAACCUUGGAACUGCCUUUGAUACUGGAGACCUUGAGUCCGGGAGAGGUGAGUGGAAUUGCGAGUGUAGAGGUGAAAUUCGU
rnacentral:rRNA from 1 species